GAAAUGCGAUAAGUAGUGUGAAUUGCAGAAUUCAGUGAAUCAUCGAAUCUUUGGACGCACAUUGCGCCCUUUGGUAUUCCUUAGGGCAUGCCUGUUCGAGCGUCAUUUAAACCUUCAAGCUCAGCUUGGUGAUGGGUGACUGUCCCCCCCUCGCGGGGGGACUCGCCUCAAAAACAUUGGCGGCCGGUACAUUGGCUUCGAGCGCAGCAGAAACGCGGUCUCGAGUCCUGUGGAUCGGCUCCCAUAAGCCUCUUCUUUUAUUUUGACCUCGGAUCAGGUAGGGAUACCCGCUGAACUUAAGC
rnacentral:misc_RNA from 1 species